UACACUCCGUUCGCUGAACGCAUCUCUGCACAGAGUGCGCGCCGCACACCCUAAAUAACUCAAUCCGAUUCCAUCUACAGCUCUUACAGCCAAUGAGAAUAUGGCUGUUCGGGCAAGCUAGCCAAUGGGAUAGAUCCAUGAUUUGAUUCGUCCCCGCACGUGCGGCUCGGUGACGGUGACUUGUCACUCGAUUGCAUUGGUCAUCAACCGUCUUUUUUACAUGACCACGGAAUCAAAAACAUCAACAACAGCAAAUGAGUGGCGUGUUACGAUCGAAAACACAGUCGUCAUGAGCAAGAGGAAGCAAGAGGGUUGCAGAGACAUUCGGCAAUUUUUUGCCUCGUCUCAGAAAAGAAGCAAAAGUAGAGCUAGUGAGCCAGCGGGAGAGACAGAAAGUUUGGAGGAUGAAAGCACAGGGAGAGUUUGUCAAUCUAGUGGUGGCAUAGAGGUGAGUCGCCUAAGAGAGGAGUAAUAUGAAAGGUUAAGAACGAAUCAUGACAUUCAAGCAGAAUCCUGUUAGCACACAUGUAUAUAGUGUAGGGUUGUCAAAAAAAUUUAUACUCAGAUACUAAUCGAUUAAAAUUAAAAAAAAUAAUAUCGGAUUAGAUACUUAUGUGCAACAGUAUCGAUACUAAAAUCACUGUCUUCAUCAUCUUCAUCUCUUUUUUUUUCUCGCCUCCUUCAGUUGACACACAACUUUACACAGCAGCGUUGCAGUUGCUAAUAUAGCAAUAUAAUAAUUAUCAAGUCAAGUUUCAUUCAAGGUUACAAAACAUUGUAUAAUGUAUGUAUUCAUAGAUUAAUCCAUUACUAAUCAGAAAACAUUUAGGUUAUGUCCUUGACAUG